rnacentral:rRNA from 1 species
UACGUAGGGUGCAAGCGUUGUCCGGAAUUAUUGGGCGUAAAGAGCUCGUAGGCGGUUUGUCGCGUCGAAUGUGAAAACCCGGGGCUCAACCCCGGGCCUGCACUCGAUACGGGCAGACUAGAGUUCGGUAGGGGAGUCUGGAAUUCCUGGUGUAGCGGUGAAAUGCGCAGAUAUCAGGAGGAACACCGGUGGCGAAGGCGGGACUCUGGGCCGAUACUGACGCUGAGGAGCGAAAGCGUGGGGAGCAAACAGG